CUUCUAUUUUGUAGUGGCUCAUUGUCAUUGUUACUACUUGACCCUCUGGCUACAGGGAGCUGCUAGAAUGCAGAGGCUAUUAUGAGGAGGUUAUGUGCGGAAUGAUAACAACCAUCAAUUUUAAAUGAACGGUUCAGAUUUAAGUAGGAAGUUUUUUUACAAUCGGGUUAAAAUUACCCAUCACAAAAUAAGCAACCCGGAACUUCUCUCUCAUAUCUCCUAUUUUCUUUGAAACAGAGGUCCAAAGUCCUACGUCUGAAACUUCCUCUAGAGACAAACAAGAGCUGCCCCUUUUCAACUUCCAGAAGCCGAAUUUGCUGCUCCAAAAAGAAAAAAAACGAAGACACUCAGAUGUGGAGGACGUUGCUGAAGAAGAAGGAACAAGGGUUGAAACCCACAACUCAAUUCUUUCACUGAAAAUGGUUCAUCAUUACCCAUUACAACAACUAUAACCUAAGAGCUCUCUUAUUCUGUCUUUGUGUCACAAAAAUUAUUUGCAAGAUCUUCAUAGUAGAGAGAAAAGAAGAAAAAGAGACAAAUGAUAUGUUGAAAGAGCCUCCAGUAGUCUCUCACUCGCCUAACUUUGCACUCCGUUUCUGAACAAGUAAUACCCAAGUUUUGAAGAACUUGUAGUACUCUUCUUCAAUUCCAAUUGCGAUGUCUACAAUCCUCAAGGUUGGUAUCAUGCCAAGGUUGUGUUGGUGCCGUGAAAAGGGUUCUUGGAAAACUUGAAGAUGGAAGAUUGUCUUGUUUCAAUUGGCGGCGUUCUUUUGGGGAGGAAAUUGCUAACUUUCAGCUUAAAUUCGGGUCUAAGAGGACAUGUCUUGGAAUUUUUCUUAUACAUAUGAAUUGUGUUAAAAUUCUAGACCAAGAGGAGAUGAAAUUUUUUUGUUUUUUGCCACUUUCUUAUGUAUAUCUUAAGAUGUAAUGAGAUAACAUUGUUAGUUCAUCAAUUUAUGAAAGUCAAGUUAGAAGGAAA